CCCUGGAGACGCUUUCAGGGACAGACCGAAGUCAGGUCCCUGUUCGGGCACCACUUGUAGUGUUGUGUGCAGGUGGUAAGGCAAUACUACCUGUUGCAGCCAGCAACCUCAGGAUCUCGUCCAGGGAAGCAGCAGGAUUCUGGGGACCAGCAUCAAAGACCAACGAGACGGGUUCUCGUUUAUGAAACCAUUUAUUCAGCAUGGGAACAAAGUCAGGUCCAGAACAGAGAGCCCCGAACAGAGGCACAGCAGGGGUUUUUGAGGGACAGAACUCUUCAAGGGUCCCCACCUUUGAGGGUGGAGUUCAGGGUCAGGGGCCAGUAGAAGCACACCAAGGGAAAACCCCCCAGGGACUCAAACCCAAUCACAGCACCUGGGCCACCCUUCACAAGGGCUUUGGGGUGGGACAAUGGAACUUUUUGUCUCCCCUGAGGCUGCUGCCAUAUCUGCUCUUUUUUUUUUUUUUUUUCUUCCCCAUAUUUUAAUUAGAAGCUUAAAAUGUUUCUAAACAUGAGCUUAAAAUGUUUCCAAACAUACACCUUAAAAUCUCACCUCCUCCACAGAGCACCCACUUUGCUUUGUGGGACACCAGUAACUCAGUAACAAAACACAUUAAGCAAACAGAAAAAAAAAAAAAAAAAAAAAGGAACUUCACAGAAGACAAAAAACAGUCCACUGGAAGAGCCAUACCGUCCAUAAUCGUCCAUAAUGUUAAUAUCGUCCAUAAUGUUAAUAUAAUUAUCCAUAAUACAUCUCGUUGGGUGAUGUACUCUCGAGUCCUCCUUUCCAAGGCGGGGGUCUCGCCGGCUCUCAAGCCAUCAGCCGGGGACUUACGAGGUGUCCAUGGAGCUGGGUCCUGCUGUUCUCUUGCUUCACUGGAUGCCACGCAUUCUCUCACCAUUUGUUGCAGUCAGCAACCUCAGGAUCUCGUCCAGGGAAGCAGCAGGAUUCUGGGGACCAGCAUCAAAGACGAACGAGACGAGCUCCCGUUCAUGAAACCAUUUAUUCAGCAUGGGAACAAAGUCAGGUUCAGAACAGAGAGCCCUGAACAGAGGCACAGCAGGGGUGUUUGAGGGACAGAACUCUCAAGGGUCCCCACCUUUGAGGGUGGAGUUCAGGGUCAGGGGCCAGUAGAAGCACACCAAGGGAAAACCCCCCAGGGACUCAAACCCAAUCAGAACACCUGGGCCGCCCUUCACAAGGGGUUUGGGGUGGGACAAUGGAACUCUUUGUCUCCCCUGAGGCCGCUGCCACAACUACCUUCCCAAAAGCAGCUCCAGAGAGGUCAGCGUCUGGGUAGGCUGCAGUCACACACUCACACACACACACACAUACUGACACACCACAGAUUGCUUCAGGUCAUCAGAGAGGCAGGAAGGGUCAUUGUGUGGAGUUCCAGUGGGAUUUAUUCCAACCACACACCAAAGGGGUCCAGAAACAGAGAGAGGGAGUAAUGGAGGAUCCAGGAAUAUAUGUGGAGCUUAAGGAGGAGGAUCUGAGGGUCAGGGUCCAAUAGGAACAGGGGAAAGUGGUG
rnacentral:lncRNA from 1 species